GAUGAACGCUGGCGGCGUGCCUAAUACAUGCAAGUCGAGCGGACAGACGAGGAGCUUGUGCGUUGGACGUUAGCGGCGGACGGGUGAGUAACGUGUGGAUAACCUACCUGUAAGACGGGGAUAAUUUGGGGAAAGCGGAUCUAAUAGCGGAUGAUAUAUUGAAGCGUAUGGUGGAAUUGUGAAAGACGGUGGUGCGGGAACUUAUCGAUGGGUCCGGGCCGCAUGAGCUGGUUGGUAAGGUAACGGCUUACCAAGGCAACGAGGCGUAGACGACCUGAGAGGGUGAUAGGCCACACUGGAACUGAGACACGGUCCAGACUCCUACGGGAGGCAGCAGUCGGGAAUCUUACGCAAUGGGCGAAAGCCUGACGGAGCAACGCCGCGUGAGUGAUGAAGGUCUUCGGAUCGUAAAACUCUGUUAUUAGGGAAGAACAAAUGUGUAAGUAACUAUGCACGUCUUGACGGUACCUAAUCAGAAAGCCACGGCUAACUACGUG
rnacentral:rRNA from 1 species